rnacentral:lncRNA from 1 species
ACCCUACUCGCCUCUCCAACCGAGGUAAAAUAUGUCAGGAUUUCGUGCCCCUCUAAUAGGCUAUUCCACAGAACCCAGCCCACUGCAGCAAGCAAUAUCCAUCAUACAAUAAAAUUUUGACAGCAUGACGUGACUAAUAUUAUACUACUCAUGAAAUACCCCAUACUUUGAUAUGGUGAUAAAUAAAGUUGAUCGAAUGCAAAUUGAGGCCAAUUAAAAUGUUUAAAAGUGAUAAGAGACGAAAGGAGUAGUUUACGAUAAAAUAUUUCGCAAGUGAGAAAAUAACAAUAAAAUAAUAAUAAUUUUAUAGGAGGAGAAUUUGUGAGAUAAAAGGCGAUUCAGAAGUCAAGUGAGGCAUAAUAAGGUAUUUUUGGUACCAAGGAGACAAGAAAAAAUUUUAAGAAUAAAAUAAUAUUAAAAUAUUAAUAUUUAGUCGGAUGUUGAAGUCAAUCAAGAAGAAGGAUCAUAUGGUUGAUCCAAGUGGGGGAGAAGAUGACAAGCCCGACUCUAUAAAAAUAUUUAUCAUGACAUACAUGUGAUAGAUAGCAUGUUUGCAUGCUAGGAAAGUCCCGAAAAAUUUACAAAAGUCGGUAUUGUACCUAGAGGUACAACAAAGUUGAUUUAAGCCUCGAACUAGAUCAAAUAGAGAAGUUACAAUGAAAUUAAGAAUUUUAAAGUCCCAGAAUGGUUUAAUAUGGUGAUUCGGAGUUCGAGGAUCAAUUUGGAGUCAAACCGAAAUUUUCGCUAUCUAGGGGCAAAAUGGUCAUUUGCCACCUGGGGACAAAAUAGAAAUUUUAGAAAAGAUUUUUUUGGUCCCAUUUGACUUAUUGGAGUAUAAUUUGACUUAUUGGAGUAAGAUUUGAGGUUUAGAAGUGAAAAAUUUUAAUUUCGGUAUAAUUUGGAGUAAAAGGGUAAAAUGGUAAUUUUGCCACCCCAGGGGCAAAAUUGUAAUUUUCCACCAUCAGGACAUUUUUCCAGCACAUGGUCUUCCUUUAUCCUCAUUUUGACCAUUGACUAAUUGUGUGGUGGAGAUAACAAGGAUUAAAAUUUUUAAAGUUUUAAAAGCGGGCCAAUGACAUGAUGCCACGUGUCAUGCCCUUAUUAAUUUAUUAUUUCUCUUUUAAAAGGCACAAAAAUCAGCUCAUCUUCCACCCCAUGGCCGGCCAAACCAGCAAGAAGAGAGAGAAAACAAAAAACAAAACCCUAGAGAGAGAAAAUCAAAGAAAAAGUGUGAAUUUUCAAGAAAAUUAAGUGAAAAAGGUGAGAUUUUUUCUAUUAAGCUUGAGUUUUCUUAUUCCCAAGCAUUUCUCUUUAUUUUCCAUGAUUAAAUUACAUGUUUUCAUGAUGAAUUCAAUUCUGAAAAAAUGGGUUAGGAGAGAGAAAGUUGUUNNNNNNNNNNNNNNNNNNNNNNNNNNNNNNNNNNNNNNNNNNNNNNNNNNNNNNNNNNNNNNNNNNNNNNNNNNNNNNNNNNNNNNNNNNNNNNNNNNNNNNNNNNNNNNNNNNNNNNNNNNNNNNNNNNNNNNNNNNNNNNNNNNNNNNNNNNNNNNNNNNNNNNNNNNNNNNNNNNNNNNNNNNNNNNNNNNNNNNNNNNNNNNNNNNNNNNNNNNNNNNNNNNNNNNNNNNNNNNNNNNNNNNNNNNNNNNNNNNNNNNNNNNNNNNNNNNNNNNNNNNNNNNNNNNNNNNNNNNNNNNNNNNNNNNNNNNNNNNNNNNNNNNNNNNNNNNNNNNNNNNNNNNNNNNNNNNNNNNNNNNNNNNNNNNNNNNNNNNNNNNNNNNNNNNNNNNNNNNNNNNNNNNNNNNNNNNNNNNNNNNNNNNNNNNNNNNNNNNNNNNNNNNNNNNNNNNNNNNNNNNNNNNNNNNNNNNNNNNNNNNNNNNNNNNNNNNNNNNAUUGAUGUGGUGAAUUAUGUAUUGUACAUUGUGGAUAAGUGGUGAGCAAAGUACACUGGUAAAAGUACAGAGAUUGUGCUUGGAGACUGGGAUUAGGAGUGUAUCGACUCCUAGAACUGUGAGUGAACUUAUUAUCGUCUUAAUUAUCUAGAGUAGUUUUAUACAACUACGUGGUUUUAUGAAAAAUGGGUUUAAAUGGUAAAUUGCUAUGUUUUAAGAGAAAUUGUGAUUUUAUAAAAUGAUUUUAUAAAUUUUCUGGAAAAUCGAAUACUGAUUUUGAAAAUAGAGUAAUUGGAGACUGCUUGCUUGUGUUGUAAAUUUAUGGUUUUAAAUUGAAUGGCUUAUGACAAUAUAUGAGCAUGAAUGGCUAAACUGAUUUUGGUGUUAGAAUUAUUUGCACUGAGUAUUCAGCCUUGAGAGGCUUGGUUGCGAUAAAUUGCCAUGUCAUGCUAUAAUGAAUUUUAUUGAUUGGUGGAUUAUAUAUUAAUUAUUUACUGCAGAGGGGGUUCCGUGGACCAGCCUAUUAGAGGGGCACGGUAAACUCCAUUAUAUUAUUACCUCGAACGGAGAAACGUGUAAGAUAUCUCAUGGGGUUAAAGCUUAGGGUUCACUUCACGCCAAACCACCACGUGAAGGGGAACUCAGCCAACGCUAAGGAACGGCUGUAUUUUUCUCGAACUAAAAUAUAUUUUAAGUGUAUAAAAAAUUUGAAUAGCCUUGGCGGACUCGGUUAGAUGCCCUGCGCAAGGUAUCACCGAGUAUGAGUUUUGGCACGAGCCAAAGUUUUAAGAAAUUCAUAAGCCAAGUUGAUUACUCGAUUUUUAUGGAUUGAUUUUAUUUGGUUGAAAUGAGUUGAAAGGUAAUGAAAUUACAGUAUGAUGAUUUAUUUUAAUUGUCUCCAUUUACUCGACUUUUGAUAGUUUAGAUGGUAUUUGUUUACUUACUGGGAUUUUAUAAUCUCACCACCCUCAUUUCCUCACAUUUCAGGCUCGGGAAAUUCCAUAGUUAGCUGACUUUGACAAGGACUUUCAUUUGGACUCGAAUCGGUAAAAGCUGUAGGUUUCCAGCUUUCGAUGCAUUUUGGUUAGAGGUGGGCCCAUGCGUCACUGUAAAAGAAAUUUUAUGCUUUGGUUAUUUGCUUUAUAAUAUAUAUGAAUAUAAUUAACUUUUGCGCUAUAAGAAUUAUGUACCAAUAGUUUUAUGAAAAUUAUUUUACAAGAAAAUAGUUAUUUUAUUGAAUAUUUUUAUUAUAUUCAAAUGGUCAAAUUUUCAUUUCAAAUGAAUGUUUUAGAUACUUAAUUUUUUUUUAAAUCAUUAAAUAUAUAUUUUCGGCUUACCUACUACAUUUUUAGCAAGUUUCGAGGUUUUCGAUAAAAAUGACGAAAAUGCCCCUGUGAGCAAAAAAAAUAUUAUGUUAUGAUUUGGAAAUGAUUUGUAAUCCUUCGUAUUUUGAUUAUUUAAUAACUAUUGCUCACCGGGGAAGUGUGAAAGCUGAUACAAGAGCCUUGCGAAGUUUCGAUCGACAUUUGGGGUGAAGAAUGUUUGUCGAGGCUUCGCGACGGUUGUCACGGACUCGAUGGGGAGUUCCGGGUCGUGACAACCCAGCCUGUAAAUGUAAAACAGAACAAUUCAUACAGUUCACCAAAAACACAACCCAGCCAGUCAUGCCAACACAUUAACAUAAGCCAUCAAUUCAAAUCAUAAAUUUACAACACAUCAAGAGUCUCCAAUUACUCUAUUUUCAAAAUCAUUAUUCAAUUUCAAGACAGUUUAUAAAAUCUUUUCAUUUAAACACAUUUUGUUUAUAAACAUAAAGGUUUACCAUUUAAACCCAUUUUUCAUAAAAUCAUAAAAUCGAAUAAAAACCACUUUAGAUAAUUAAGAUGAUAGUAAGGUUACUCAAUGUUCUAGGAGUCGAUGUACUCUUAAUCUCAGUCUUCAAGUACAAUCUCUGUACUUUUACUAGUGUAAUUUGCUCACCACCUAUCCACAAUGUACAAUACAUAAUUCACCACAUUAAUGCUUGACCAUUAUAAAAUCAAUUCAAGCUCGGUGUAUAUGCAUGAUAUGAUAUGCAACUUAUCCGACUACCGCUUAAAUGUGGUGUUGACCUAAUUUGGCCUAUUACCCGAUUAAAUGACAAUUGUGUCUGAUUUGACUCCAAAUUGCUCCAUUUCAUUUCUAAUAUUUCAAUUCACUAAAUAUAAUUCCAAUAAUCUAAAAUUCAGCCUAACAACCCUUACAAUUCUUCUUGAAAAUUUCAGUCAUUGUGGUGCACUAUCACUAAAAAUUUUCCCAUUCCAUUUUUUCACCAUAAAUUAUCAUUUCAUCCAUUUUUCAACCAAUUCACUUGAUCACAAAAUCAAUUCAUUACUUCUACACUUCACAUAGGGUUCGGCCAUUGAAGGUUCAUAGGGAAAAUGGAUUCUUUUCUUGUUGUUUUGUUUCUAAACAUGCUUAACUAACUCUAAACACCAACAUAACUCAAAAUCAAAUCAAUCUAACAUCAUUCUCUCUCCAUACCCAUUCCGACUAGCCAUGAAUUCAUCAUGAAAACAUGUAAUUUAACCAUGGAAAAUGAGGAGAAAUGCAUGGGGAAGAAAGAUGUCAAGCUUAAUUGAAAAAUUUUACCUUUUUUUCACUUGUUUCCUUGAAUUUUCACACUUUUCCCUUGAAUUUUUCCACCUAGGGUUUGUUCUCUUCCUUUUCUUCUUUUGUUCUUCUUUGGUCUUGGUUUGGCCGGCCAUAUGAAAGAAAAUAGGCUGAUUUUAUACUUAUUUUAAAGCUAAAUAAAUAAUGGCUAUAAAUUUGACACAUGUCACCACAUUAUUGGUCUAUUUGUAAUUUCUUAACUAUUAAGCUUUCUCUCUCCACCACUUAAAUUCCAUUAAUUAUCCAUGAUAAUAUUGGAUAAAAUCCAUGUGUUGAACAAGUGUCGGGUGGUGUAAAAUUACAAUUUUGCCACUGAGGUGGUAAAAUUACAAUUUUGCCACUGAGGUGGCAAAAUUAUCAUUUUACCCCUAUGUUCUGAAAAAUACCGAGAUUACAAUUUUUCACUUCUCAAUCCCAAAUCAUACUCCAAUAAGUCAAAUGUGAUUCAAAUCUUUCAAAAAAAUUUUCCAUUUUAUCCUCGAGUGGUAAAAUUACCAUUUUGUCCAUAGAUAGUGAAAUUUUCGGUUUAACUCCAAAUUGAUCCUCGAACUCCGAAUCAUCAUAUUAAAUCAUUCCUGGAUUGUAAAAUUUUCAAUUUCAUCAUAAAAUCUCUAUUCGAUCUAGUUCGAGGCUUAAAUCAACUUUGUUGUACCUCUAGGUGCAAUACCGACUUUUUGUAAAUUUUUUGGGACUCUACUAGCAUGCAACCAUGCUAUUCAUUACAUGUAUGUCAUGAUAGGUAUUUUAUAAGGUCAGGCUUUACAGCACUACCCACCUUAAAAUAAAAUUUUGACAUCAAAAUUUCAUUUACUAAACUCAAAGAAAAAGUGGGGGUAUUGUUUUCUCAUCUAAUGCUCGACUUCUUAUGUCUUCCUUUUUAUAGGGAAUUUCGAUUUGUUCACCUCAUUUACCUCCAAUUCAACUUGAGUACUUCACUUAUGUCUAUUAUUAUUCUUUAAAAUCAUAUCAAUAGUAAACUUUACAAUUAUGAUAUCUUAUAUCGAAACACCAAACAUGCUUCUAUUACUAUCAUUAAACUUGAACUAUAACUCCAUCUCAAUCAUACUAAUUUCGAUCGCAUUUUGUACUUAUUUAGGUAUACCAAUCACUAUCUUAUUACUUCAUUCCAUAUCAAAUCUCUCGACUUUCAUUCAUUCAUUCCCUCCUCAUACAAUAUUGUGUAGUUUACAGUAUCAUUAACAUGCCAUAUUCAUUCUUAUACAUAUCCUCAACGUUAGGGAAGAUUAAUGGCUUCAAUUAUUUCCACAUACUUCAUGUUUAUCUCACAUUUAGGAAAUUUCAAUCUUCUUAAUCCUAUUAAUCCAUCUCAUAUGGCUUAAUCGCACUAUAGAUUACAUUUCCUUAACUAUUUCCCCAAAAUUUCUUGGGUUACCAUAAAUUGACUUUUGAUAAAAUUCUUGAUCGUUACAUUAUCUAUACAACUCAUCAAAUAUUUUGAGUUCAAAUCUCGAACCACUAAAACCAUUCUUCAUUUUAAUUGGGUACAUCACUAACUCCACACAUACGUAUACACGCACAUUCAAAUGUCCAUAUUCCUCAUUAUGUAUACAGGUCUCUGUUUUCAAAUGCCUUCAGACUAAUUUCUCUUUAUCCAUUCCCAUUCAUAACCAAGAUUCAAUAGAAUAAUCUUCAUAAUUCAUACAAAUUCUCAUCAUGCUUGUGCAUAGUUCUACAUCAUUUACAUACUUAUAUUCUCUUUUUAUCAUUUCCAAUUAUAUGCUUAAGUUUCCUUGUACUAUAUAUCCUUGCAUCACAAUGUCAUCUCCAUUGAAUUAUAAUCUAUUAUGCGUGUAUGCUUUAUAAUCCCAUUGAUGCCUUAAAGAUUUACCUUAACUUGAUUAUUGCAUCUUAUGUAAUACCACAAUUCCUAAGAGUCAUCUUUUUUCCUCGAUUAUCUUUCAUGCCUCUAUAUUACCUUGUAUCCUUCUUGCAUUCCGAUAUUGAUUUGUCACUUAGAACUCAUACUCAUUUGAAUCAUGUACACCUCAAGCAUCUUCGAAUUCCAAUUCCAUAAUAUAUUAGGAAAGUUUCAUUAUCUGACUUCAUUAUCAAAGUCAACUUCAAUCAUCCUUUGUUCCACUCUUUCAUAUGAACAUAACAUCAUUCUCCCUUAGCUAAUUUAUAAAUUGCUCUUGAAAUUGUAAAACUUGAAACUAGAUUCUCCUCAAGUACCUUUCAAUGUCAAUACUAAUAUCACUCUCAACUUACAGCUUCCUUUUUAUAACCACAUAACUUAGUGCUUGCUUUCACGAGAUCCAUGGCAGAACUUUUCUUAAGUGUUUCCUUGGGGAUAUCUAUCUUAAACUUAUGUCUCACAAUAUGUGAUCACUUAAACCGUAACUUAGCCAUUUAUGUGGCAUCCCCUUCGGGGCCUACUCUGAGGUAUUGUUACGUCUGGGUCCCCAUCACUUGACUUACUCGUAUACGCCGCGCCUAAGGGUGGCACGACAGACCCUGCAGGACCUUCUCGUCAAGUUUCUAACCUUAAACCUUUUGCUUCCCCCCCCCCCCCCCGAAGGGAACGCCUUUAAUCAUUUUAGCUUUAACUCAUUCAUAUCGAUACCUUCCAAAACCUUAAAACUCAAGUUAACAAAACUUAGAAUCAAGUUUAAUGACUUUAGGUCAACUUGUAAGUUCAACUUUACAUCAAUCUCAUUUUAUUCAUGCAUCCUAGACAUGAAGUGUUCUUAACACCGCAGCACGGUGGCUGUUGGAAUUUACUUAAUCAAUGUUAUUCAUCUAUAUUUAAGGUUACUACACUAGUCAUUCUCAACCAUUUGGUUUCCCUCCAAGCUUACGUCACAAUUUCCAUAACCAGUUAUAUUCUCUUGUGCUUAUCACAUAUAAUAGGUAAAGUCAAUAUUUUCAAAUUCAUCUCAUCCUAUAACACUUGUCAACAAUCAAUAAAUCCCACUUUAGAAUACUCUUUCCACAUUGUAUAGUAACUUCACCAUAUAGAAUCACGACACUAUAUUCCUCCAUUCUACUAUCAUGCAUACUCCACAGAAAUUAAUUAAAAGAUUUACGUACCUUAACUAAUGCUAAUUCCAUUUAAUCAUAUCUUAAAUACUCAAAACUUGUAAAUUACAACUCCAAGUGUAUGUCCAUAGAUUGAUAAUCUUUAUAUAUUUCAUGAUCAUGAAAACUACAACUUACAAACUAGCUUUCGAUCAUAUGCACACUAUUAGAACAUUAAUUUCAACAUGUUUAAUUCUCCUUUGGUGGUAUGUUAAGAUCGUUCCUGGAUACAUUUUCAUAUUAACAUUGAUAUGCCUUUACCAUAGCACUUAGUGCAAAUUUGAUGAAGGAAUUGUCUCCAAAUAACUCUUAAAUACAUAAUUAUCAAAUUGUAUACCACUAAAUGUUAAGAUCUUGACUUUAUUCAUCAAUAACCAAUCACAUUUAUUAAGUGAAUAAUUUACUUAUUUAUUAUACCUUGCCUUUGCGAUCAUAAGAUCAAAGUUGUCCUAAACUUAGGAUGCAGAAGUUCUCUUUCUUAGAGUAUAUCCAAACAUCAAUAUUUUCUAAAUUCUUUACUUUGGGGAGAUCACCUUCAAGACUGAUCAUUCGUAUCAUAGGCCACACUUUGAACCAAAUAAACUUUUAAAUUGAUCUUUCAAGUAAUUCGUAUAUCAGUCUCAAUUAUAGAACUUCAUAUGACACUUAGACUAGAUUCGACAUUUUUAAAUCAUUUAACUUCAAGCUGCCAAUUCCACAUCUAGUCCUUUAAUCUCUUAGCUCCUCUUUUUUCUAUGCAUAGCAAAGUUCAAGUUCAUCCUUAGAGCAGAUUUGUUUACUAACUUCUUACUUCAUGACCACACAUCAAUUAUAGUGAUCAUUGAUACUCGCUCUCGAGUUAAUUCACGUGCUUACAUCCAUGAACUAUAAUAAGUCCAAUCAAUUCUUGAAAUCUCACAAUCGCUUAAUUGAAAUCAACACCAGUUCCCUCUAAGCUGUUGUACCAAUUCAACACAUAUUCACAUAUAAAAUAUUUCAAUAUCCCAACACCACUUUUAUAUGGGCAUAACAAGCUCAAUUAACAUAGUGUUUUUAUCUUCAUGCACAUAAGUAUGGGUUUACUAUUACCUCAAAGUUUACUUUAUACACUCCAAGUGAAUUACAACCAUUACUAUUCAUUCUAAUCAAAAUGCGCCCCUUAUUACCAUUAUCACACGUGCUUUUUUUUUAUUAAUCCCAAUACAAUCUAUAGUCCCCAAAUCUUUUUCCAAUUGACAACCAUGAGUUCAAUUAUAACUCCACCAAAUGAAUAAAUUAUCACGGCCUUUUAGUCCAACUCCAAAUUUCUCCAUCUUUAAUCGGAAGGAUAUAUCAUUUCAUUAAUCUUUCAUUAGGAGCAUUCGUUUUAAGAUCUCUCUAACACAGGCUUGUGUCACGAGUGGCAUCUUAAACCCAGACAACGGCCCUACUUAUGACCUUUGCAUGACAUUAACAAAGAAGUGGAUUACUGAGAACAGGAGUUCAUAUAGCUCCCUGUCUAUGACUUAUGCUCCCAUAAGAUCUAUAAGAAGAAACAAAACGAGUCUACACAACUCCAAAUUCUAUAUGCAGAUGCACAUAUUCUAUUCUAUCAAACCUAACUUAACUCGGGGCCAUGCAAUGUCAGUGUGGAUUUCCUAAAACAACCUUCAAACCAAAAACUUUAAAAUCCAAAGCUUUAAAAUCAAAAUCUCUGAUCUUUAAACCAUGCUCUAAUACCAAUCGAAUUGUCACGACCCGAAACUCUCCAUCGGGCCUGUAACAACCGUCGCGAAGUCUCGACAAACAUUCUUCACCCCGAAUGCCGAUCGAAACCUCGCAAGGCUUUUGUAUAAGCUUUCGCACUUCCCCGGUGAGCAAUAGUUAUCAAAUAUCUUAAUUCGAAGGAUUACGAGUCAUUUUCAAAUCAGAACAUAACAAAUUAUUUUCUGACUCACAUGGGCAUUUUCAUCAUUUUUUGUUGAAAAUCUCAAAACUUGCUAAAAAUGUAGUAGGUAAGAAGAAAAUAUAUAUUUAGUGAUUUAAAAACAAAUUAAGUAUCUAAACGUUCAUUUGAAGUGAAAAUCUAACCAUUUGAAUAUAAUAAAAAUAUUUAAUAAAAUAAACUAUUUUCUUGUAAAAUAAUUUUUAUAAAGCUAUCGGUAAAUAAUUCUUAUAGCGUAAAAGUUAAUUAUAUUCAUAUAUACUAUAAACCAAAUAACCAAAGCAUAAAAUUACUUUUACAGCGACACAUGGGCCCACAUCUAACCAAAAUGCAUCUGAAGCUGAAAACCUACAGCUUUUGCCGAUUCAAGUUCAAAUGAAGGUAUUGUCAAAGUUAGCUAACUAUAGAAUUCCUCGAGCCUAAAAUGUGAGGAAAUGAGGGUGGUGAGAUUAUAAAAUCCCAGUGAGUAAACAGACACCAUCUAAACUAUCUAAAGGCGAGUAAGUGAAGACAGACAAAACAGUUUAACAUACUGAAAUUCAUCACCUUUCAACUUGUUUCAACCAGAUAAAAUCAAUUCAUAUAAAUCGAGUAAUUAACAUGGCUUAUGAAUUUCUUAAAACUUUGGCUCAUGCCAAAAUUUAUUUUCAUACUCAGUUAUCAGGGCUAUCCCAAACCGAGUUCGCCAAGGCUAUUAAAAAGUUAUAUACUCAUAAAUCAUGUUUUUAUUUAGAAAACACAACUGUUCCUUGGCGUUGGCUAAGUUCCCCCUCAUGUGGUAGUUUAGCGUGAAGUGGACUCUAAAGUUAUACCUUGGGAGUUACCCUACUCGCCUCUCCAAUUGAGGUAAAAUAUAUCAAGAUUCCGUACCCCUCUAAUAGGCUAGUCCACAGAACCCAGUCCACUGUAGCAAGCAAUACACACCAUACAAUAAAAUUUUGACAGCAUGACGUGACUAAAAUUAUACUAUCCAGCCUGUAAAUGUAAAACAGAAUAAUUCAUACAAUUCACCAAAAAUGCAACCCAGCCAAUCAUGCCAACACAUUAACAUAAGCCAUCAAUUCAAAUCAUAAAUUUACAACACAUCAGAAGUUUCCAAUUACUCUAUUUUCAAAAUCAUUAUUCAAUUUCAAGACAGUUUAUAAAAUCUUUUCAUUUAAACACAUUUUGUUUAUAAACAUAAAGGUUUACCAUUUAAACCCAUUUUUCAUAAAAUCAUAAAAUCGGAUAAAAACCACUUUAGAUAAUUAAGACGAUAGUAAGGUUACUCACAGUUCUAAGAGUCAAUGUACUCCUAAUCCCAGUCUUUAAGUACAAUCUUUGUACUUUUACCAGUGUAAUUUGCUCACCACCUAUCCACAAUGUACAAUACAUAAUUCACCACAUUAAUGCUUGACCAUUAUAAAAUCAAUUCAGGCUCGGUGUAUAUGCAUAAUAUGAUAUGCAACUUAUCUGACUACCGCUUAAAUGCGGUGUUGACCUAAUUCGGCCUAUUACCUGAUUCGGCUUAUCCGAUUACCAAAUUGCUCCAUUUCAUUUCUAAUAUUUCAAUUCACUAAAUACAAUUCCAGUAAUCUAAAAUUCAGCCUAACAACCCUCACAACUCUUCUUGAAAAUUCCUGCCAUUGUGGUACACUAUCACUAAAAAUUUUCCCAUUCCAUUUUCUCACCAUAAAUCAUCAUUUCAUCCAUUUUUCAACCAAUUCACUUGAUCACAAAAUCAAUUCAUUACUUCUACACUUCACAUAGGGUUCGGCCAUUGAAGGUUCAUGGGGAAAAUGGAUUAUUUUCUUGUUGUUUUAUUUCUAAACAUACUUAACUAACUCUAAACACCAACAUAACUCAAAAUCAAAUCAAUCUAACAUCAUUCUCUCUCCAUACCCAUUCCGACCAGCCAUGAAUUCAUCAUGAAAAUAUGCAAUUUAACCAUGAAAAAUGAGGAGAAAUGCAUGGGAAAGAAAGAUGUCAAGUUUAAUUGGAAAAUUUUACCUUUUUUUCACUUCUUUCCUUGAAUUUUCACACUUUUUCCUUGAAUUUUUCCACCUAGGGUUUGUUCUCUUCCUUUUCUUCUUUUGUUCUUCUUUGGUCUUGGUUUGGCCAGCCAUAUGAAAGAAAA